UUCUGCCUUUUUUCUUUUUUUCCCCUCAAAUUUCAAUUUUUAUGGGCCACAUGUACUAGUGGGUCGGCUACCAGCCCACGGUCCGCUACAGUAGCCGUGCCGGCCCGGCACGGCCAGCAACUCAUUGGGCCGUGCUUGGGCCGAGGCCUUGGCACGUGGUCCGGCACGGCACGGCCCGCUACAGGAGCCGUGCCUAACGGGCCGUGCCCUAGUGGGCCGUGCCGUCAGUGUGCCGUGCCGUGCUGGGCCGGGCUGCCCGUUUGGCCUGCUAUAGCCGAAAAUCACGCCGCUCGCCCAGAUCGCUCUGCCUCCCCUCGCCCAACCUCCUCGCUCCAUCCCUCUCACGCCAACUGCAGCGCAGCCACCAGCGCCGUCGAUUCGAUUCCGACACCCUCUCUCCCCUGACGUCAUCACCGCCGCGGAUCUCUUCCCCUCUCUCCCUCUGAUGCCGCUGUUGUCCCCUCCUCCUCCUCCUCAUCCGCCACGCCCGAUUCUACGCUGUACGAGCCGACCCUAUGCAGUGGCAAGACGAUCCCAGCUGCGGCUAUCCUACCCGCGACGAUGAGGCAACUAUCCUCCUCGCGCAAAGACGACCCGGGCGGUGGAGAUCCUCCACGUGACGAGGCUACCCCGGCGGCGAUGUGACCUGGCUCGUGCUAUCCACUUCUCUGUUGGCUGCUCUGCUUGGUGCUGUUCAUUCUUCACAAGUCAAUCAAAAGAAAGGGUGCUUUCUCACUUACAAUCUUUCAUGGACCAGAACAGUAAAAUGGACGAACCUUCAUACAGAUGACUUCAAUUUAAGUAUGAUAGCAUUAAUCAUGGAAUUUCACAUUGUUGCUUCCUUGAUAUUCCAUAUUUGCAUUUGAAGUAGCAGGAUGUGUUGUCUUCUAAUCAAUAGAAGAGUGCUUGCGAUAUUUGGAUAUGGUGAUGGGAGCAUACCUUUGAAGCUGUUGAUUGAGUUUCAGUUCACUAGUUAUUUGACAAAUUAGUGUAUGAAAUGCUUCUCCAUAAGAAUGAUACACACAUAUUUGACAGUAUGAACACACAUAUUUUGAUUGAACAA